rnacentral:piRNA from 1 species
UCAUGGCCCGAACUGUGCUUCAGGUACUGU